GACGAACGCUGGCGGCGUGCUUAACACAUGCAAGUCGAGCGGAGCGGCGAACGGGUGAGUAAAGCGUGAGUAACGGCCCCCCUCUCUGGGAUAACAGAUGGAAACGGAAGCUAAUACCGGAUAGUGGGGGGGGACUCGCGUCCUAUCCCCUUGUUGGGUGGGGAGUGGCCUACCAAGGCGACGACGGGUAGCCGGUCUGAGAGGGCGACCUGCCACAUUGGGCUGAGAUACGGCCCAAACUCCUACGGGAGGCAGCAGUGGGGAAUAUUGCACAAUGGGGGCAACCCUGAUGCAGCAACGCCGCGUGCGGUAUGACGGCCUUCGGGUUGUAAACCGCUUUCAGCCAUGACGCGGUAGUGGCAGAAGAAGCACCGGCUAACUACGUGCCAGCAGCCGCGGUAAUAC
rnacentral:rRNA from 1 species